rnacentral:piRNA from 1 species
UNUAUAGCAUAUGCCUGUUAAUGAUAGUCC